rnacentral:rRNA from 1 species
AAAUUGAAGAGUUUGAUCAUGGCUCAGAUUGAACGCUGGCGGCAGGCCUAACACAUGCAAGUCGAACGGUAACAGGAAGCAGCUUGCUGCUUUGCUGACGAGUGGCGGACGGGUGAGUAAUGUCUGGGAAACUGCCUGAUGGAGGGGGAUAACUACUGGAAACGGUGGCUAAUACCGCAUAACGUCGCAAGACCAAAGAGGGGGACCUUCGGGCCUCUUGCCAUCAGAUGUGCCCAGAUGGGAUUAGCUUGUUGGUGAGGUAACGGCUCACCAAGGCGACGAUCCCUAGCUGGUCUGAGAGGAUGACCAGCCACACUGGAACUGAGACACGGUCCAGACUCCUACGGGAGGCAGCAGUGGGGAAUAUUGCACAAUGGGCGCAAGCCUGAUGCAGCCAUGCCACGUGUAUGAAGAAGGCCUUCGGGUUGUAAAGUACUUUCAGCGGGGAGGAAGGUGUUGCGGUUAAUAACCGCAGCAAUUGACGUUACCCGCAGAAGAAGCACC